GAUGAACGCUGGCGGCGUGCCUAAUACAUGCAAGUCGAGCGAACAGACGAGGAGCUUGCUCCUCUGACGUUAGCGGCGGACGGGUGAGUAACACGUGGAUAACCUACCUAUAAGACUGGGAUAACUUCGGGAAACCGGAGCUAAUACCGGAUAAUAUAUUGAACCGCAUGGUUCAAUAGUGAAAGACGGUUUUGCUGUCACUUAUAGAUGGAUCCGCGCCGCAUUAGCUAGUUGGUAAGGUAACGGCUUACCAAGGCGACGAUGCGUGGCCGACCUGAGAGGGUGAUCGGCCACACUGGAACUGAGACACGGUCCAGACUCCUACGGGAGGCAGCAGUAGGGAAUCUUCCGCAAUGGGCGAAAGCCUGACGGAGCCACGCCGCGUGAGUGAUGAAGGUCUUCGGAUCGUAAAACUCUGUUAUUAGGGAAGAACAAAUGUGUAAGUAACUAUGCACGUCUUGACGGUACCUAAUCAGAAAGCCACGGCUAACUACGUG
rnacentral:rRNA from 1 species